rnacentral:rRNA from 1 species
UACGGGGGGGGCAAGCGUUGUUCGGAAUUACUGGGCGUAAAGGGCUCGUAGGUGGCCAACUAAGUCAGACGUGAAAUCCCUCGGCUUAACCGGGGAACUGCGUCUGAUACUGGAUGGCUUGAGUUCGGGAGAGGGAUGCGGAAUUCCAGGUGUAGCGGUGAAAUGCGUAGAUAUCUGGAGGAAUACCGGUGGCGAAGGCGGCAUCCUGGACCGAGAUUGACGCUGAUGAGCGAAAGCUAGGGGAGCAAACAGG